rnacentral:rRNA from 1 species
UGGGGAAUAUUGGACAAUGGGCGCAAGCCUGAUCCAGCAACGCCGCGUGAGGGAUGACGGCCUUCGGGUUGUAAACCUCUUUCACCAUUGACGAAGCUGCAUCUUUUUGGGUGUGGUGACGGUAGGUGGGGAAGAAGCACCGGCCAACUACGUGCCAGCAGCCGCGGUAAUACGUAGGGUGCGAGCGUUGUCCGGAAUUAUUGGGCGUAAAGGGCUCGUAGGCGGUUUGUCGCGUCGGGAGUGAAAUCAUCUGGCUUAACUGGGUGCUUGCUUUCGAUACGGGCAGACUAGAGGUAUGCAGGGGAGAACGGAAUUCCUGGUGUAGCGGUGAAAUGCGCAGAUAUCAGGAGGAACACCGGGUGGCGAAGGCGGUUCUCUGGGCAUGAUCUGACGCUGAGGAGCGAAAGUGUGGGGAGCGAACAGGAUUAGAUACCCUGGUAGUCCACACCGUAAACGUUGGGCGCUAGGUGUGGGAUCCAUUCCACGGGUUCC